UGCGUAUUAUGAUAUUGCGUUUCUUAAUUGAUAAUCAUUUGAUAUUACCCUGUUUGAUGCUUGUGUCUGAUUUUGUACAUUUCUUAGACUUAGAGAUUAACCUCGCAUUCAUUGCCCUGAGGAAGAAGCAAAAUAAGCUUCGAAAGCUAGGCUUUACAUGAAUAAAGAGUAAAUAUAUCUCGUUAAUUGCUGA